rnacentral:rRNA from 1 species
AUUGAACGCUAGCGGGAGGCUUUACACAUGCAAGUCGAACGAGUGGCGGACGGGUGAGUAAUAUGUGAGAACGUGCCCAGUAGGGGGGGAUAACUUGGCGAAAGAGGGGCAAAUACCGCAAAAUCGGGGAUGGGCCGAUAUCGGAUGAGCUAGUUGGUGGGGUAAAGGCUCACCAAGGCAACGAUCCGUAGCUGGUUUGAGAGGACGACCAGCCACACUGGGACUGAGACACGGUCCAGACUCCUACGGGAGGCAGCAGUGGGGAAUAUUGGACAAUGGGGGAAACCCUGAUGCAGCCAUGCCGCGUGUAUGAGAAGGCCUUCGGGUUGUAAAGUACUUUUAGCAGAGAAGCGGUAUCUGCAGAAUAAGCACCGGCUAACUCCGUGCCAGCAGCCGCGGUAAUUC